AUACAGAAAAAUAUAAGUGAGUUUAUUGAAGUUGAUGUAAGAAAAUAUGGUAGUUUAUUGCCCUUAGAUUCAUCAGUUGGCAUGUGGAAAGUAUUUUACAGGAAGUACAAUGAGUCUUGGACUGUAAACACCCAAUGUUACAAGACAGCUUCCCAGGUAGGGGCAGCCCAAGUACAGUGUGUACUAAUCAUCACCAACAAAGAUGACCAGGUGGUGCAGGUGGAGGAGUCUGAGGUUACUGUCUGCUCCCAAAUGGCACACCUGAGCAUUGAUGUUACAAUACUUGAUAUGGAUCUGUCAAAGAACAUGGCUGUCCUAUUCAAACCUAUACCCAAUUAGAUGGGUUUUAGUAUGGUUAGAUGCUUUGUUUAACUUUAAAGUUUGUUAUAACCUAUUGGGUGGUACAUAGGCAGGAUGAUUGCAAGUGUAUUUAGAUAAAUAUAAAUAUUUUUAAAGACAAUAAAAUUCAAACUAUUUGAAAACUCAAAUGGUAAACAAUUUUCAGAGUUGUUCGGAUAUGUAUGGGAGAAAAGGUUUUGUUGUAUUGUAUCGCCAUUCACUUUAAGAUAACUAUACAUAUAUAUUUAUAUGUACUUAAAACAAAAUCAUUAAGCACUGAGUUUUGAUUAUAAAUGUCUUUCAUGUUGAACUUUUCAUAGGUUGGGCUACUUUGAAUGGACUGUUCAUAGGUUGCUACUUUGAAUGGACUGUUCAUAGGUUGCUACUUUGAAUGGACUGUUUAUAGAUUGCUACUUUGAAUGGACUGAUAAUAGGUUGCUACUUUGAAUGGACUGAUAAUAGGCUGCUACUUUGAAUGGACUGAUAAUAGGUUGCUACUUUGAAUGGACUGAUAAUAGGUUGCUACUUUGAAUGGACUGAUAAUAGGUUGCUACUUUGAUAGAACUGUUCAUAGGUUGCUACUUUGAUAGAACUGUUCAUAUGUUGCUACUUUGAUAGAACUGUUCAUAGGUUGCUACUUUGAUAGAACUGUUCAUAGGUUGCUACUUUGAUAGAACUGUUCAUAGGCAGCUCCAUGGAA
rnacentral:sRNA from 1 species